CGUCGUGAGACAGUUCGGUCCCUAUCUGCCGUGGACGUUUGAGAUUUGAGAGGGGCUGCUCCUAGUACGAGAGGACCGGAGUGGACGAACCUCUGGUGUUCCGGUUGUCACGCCAGUGGCAUUGCCGGGUAGCUAUGUUCGGAAAAGAUAACCGCUGAAAGCAUCUAAGCGGGAAACUUGCCUCAAGAUGAGAUCUCACUGGGACCUUGAGUCCCCUGAAGGGCCGUCGAAGACUACGACGUUGAUAGGCAGGGUGUGUAAGCGCUGUGAGGCGUUGAGCUAACCUGUACUAAUUGCCCGUGAGGCUUGACCAU
rnacentral:rRNA from 1 species